rnacentral:lncRNA from 1 species
AAAGAACAAAAUAUAAUAAUACUUUCCUAAACAACUUUCAAAAAUAUAAACACCAGAGAAGAAGGGGAAGAGAGAGAGAGAGAGAGUCACAGAGCAGAGAGAGAGAGGAUUCCGAUGGAAACCUGAGUCUCGCCUCUUUGUCUGAGAGGGCGCUUUCAAUCCUAAUUUCUCUCUCUCUCUCUCUCUCUCUGUUUCGCUGCGUAAACCCUAGCUAUGGCGUCUCUAACGGCGUCUCAUUGAUACGUCCGAUGCCAGUGAACCGGCGGGGUUCGCCGAAACCGCACCGACAUGGCCUCGCGGCAUCGUCUAGGGUUUUGUGUCGCAUUCGAUCUCAGAUUUCCCGGAGCCCUACUUGAAAAUCACUGAUCGAAGAACUAAGUUUCAAUUGAAUUGCGGUGAGAGAUAUCGUUUCUGUG